rnacentral:rRNA from 1 species
AUUGAACGCUGGCGGCAGGCCUAACACAUGCAAGUCGAGCGGAGCGGCGGACGGGUGCGGAAUGCCUAGGAAUCUGCCUGGUAGUGGGGGAUAACGUCCGGAAACGGGCGCUAAUACCGCAUACUAUCAGAUGAGCCGAGGUCGGCUUAGCUAGUUAGUGGGGUAACGGCCUACCAUGGCGACGAUCCGUAACUGGUCUGAGAGGAUGUUCAGUCACACAUGAACUGAGACACGGGCCAGAUUCCUACGGGAGGCAGCAGUGGGGAAUGUUGGACAAUGGGCGAAAGCCUGUGCCGGCCAAGCCGCGUGUGUGAAGAAGGUCUUCGGAUUGUAAAGCACUUUAAGUUGGGAGGCGUUACCAACAGAAUAAGCACCGGCUAACUUCGUGCCAGCAGCGCGGUAAUUC